UGAACAGGUUGCUCGAGAAUUAGAUCUGAGGUGGAAGAGAAAAAUGACAUAAUUAACAAGAUUUUGCUUGAAAAAAGUUUCAGAUGGCAAUGGAAGUUACACAGAUCCUAUUAAAUGCCCAAGCAGUGGAUGGUGCUAUGAGGAAACAAGCUGAAGGCCAAAAGAGAAGAAGAAAUUGGCCUUAAAAGUUCGUUUAAGAGUGCAAAAGAGCAAGGUAUUGGAUUCCAUCAUAUAAAGCCUAUUGCUGCAUUCACCAUUUACAAAUGUCUUCUCCACUGG